UUCACCACCUUCUCCACCCGGC
rnacentral:miRNA from 1 species